AUCAAUACGAUGCUGGGUGGACUUGAGGACUUCCCAUGUUCAGCGACCGGCGUCGACCCGUUUUGUGGCACAGCGGAAACUUUGUACAGCUGACUGUUUGACAAAGACACUGUAAUAUUAUUUGAAAAAUAUUUUUUCUACUUAAUCGUAAUAACUGGGUAUAAUGAGUUUAAUAUUAUAUUAUAUUACAAUAAAUAUUAAGUACCUAUAUUAUUAGCUUCUAAUAAUUGGGACGUCAUUUUUGUAGAUAUUGAUCCGGACAAAAUGAUGCUGGCCCAGCGCUAUGCCACGGUUUAUGGCGUACCUAUCCGAUGAAAUUGUUGGAGACUCUUUCAAACUGGGCAAUCUGAUAAACGGUGACGUGAUCGUUACUUCGCAGUCAUCAUAGGGUAGACCAGAAUACACAAAAAUGUAGGUCAUCGGGCUGUCGGCUGUAUGUAUGAUAAAGUCCUGGAAGUGGGAAUUACAAUAGUUCCUAAAAUGCUGUUACACCUCAACCUUAAUAAAAACAAAGAAUGAUUAAAAAAUGGCAACGGAAUUGGCCUACAAAUCUGAAAAUAAGUUUAUGGACAGAUAACUUCUCAACGUAAUAUUAUGACCGAUCCAAUAAUAACUUUCCAUAGGUACAUCAGACCUAUGUGCGACGGCUGCUCACCAACGUAUCGACAUCCACCAGAUAACUUUGACGUUUUCAACUCACAGUUAUGCAGAUGGAUGUUGACCGGUUUGGGAGCGACGUCUGAUACGCCAUUGUUCUAAUGAAUUCAAACAUAAAUAAUAUAUUAUUAUAAUAUUUUUAUAUGUAUUGGUACGGUUAGGUAUAUUAAAUUAAUUAAGUAGGUAUUAUAUUAAUAUAGUCUAUUAAUUAUUUUUUUA